rnacentral:rRNA from 1 species
GACGAACGCUGGCGGCGUGCUUAACACAUGCAAGUCGAACGGAAAGGCCCUGCUUUUGUGGGGUGCUCGAGUGGCGAACGGGUGAGUAACACGUGAGUAACCUGCCCUUGACUUUGGGAUAACUUCAGGAAACUGGGGCUAAUACCGGAUAGGAGCUCCUGCUGCAUGGUGGGGGUUGGAAAGUUUCGGCGGUUGGGGAUGGACUCGCGGCUUAUCAGCUUGUUGGUGGGGUAGUGGCUUACCAAGGCUUUGACGUAGCCGGCCUGAGAGGGUGACCGGCCACAUUGGGACUGAGAUACGGCCCAGACUCCUACGGGAGGCAGCAGUGGGGAAUAUUGCACAAUGGGCGGAAGCCUGAUGCAGCAACGCCGCGUGCGGGAUGACGGCCUUCGGGUUGUAAACCGCUUUCGCCUGUGACGAAGCGUGAGUGACGGUAAUGGGUAAAGAAGCACCGGCUAACUACGUG